UACGUAGGGUGCAAGCGUUGUCCGGAAUUAUUGGGCGUAAAGAGCUCGUAGGCGGUUUGUCGCGUCUGCUGUGAAAACCGAGGCUCAACCUCGGGCCUGCAGUGGGUACGGGCAGACUAGAGUGCGGUAGGGGAGAUUGGAAUUCCUGGUGUAGCGGUGGAAUGCGCAGAUAUCAGGAGGAACACCAAUGGCGAAGGCAGAUCUCUGGGCCGUAACUGACGCUGAGGAGCGAAAGCAUGGGGAGCGAACAGG
rnacentral:rRNA from 1 species